rnacentral:tRNA from 1 species
GUCUCUGUAGUUAAAUGGAUAUAAUAGACCCCUCCUAAGGGUUAGUUGCAGGUUCGAUUCCUGCCAGGGACACCA